rnacentral:rRNA from 1 species
ACGGGGGGGGCAAGCGUUGUUCGGAAUUACUGGGCGUAAAGGGCGCGUAGGCGGCCAGGCAGGUCAGGUGUGAAAUCCCUUGGCUUAACCAAGGAAUUGCGCUUGAAACCGCUUGGCUUGAGUGCAGGAGAGGAGGGCGGAAUUCCCGGUGUAGCGGUGAAAUGCGUAGAUAUCGGGAAGAACACCGGUGGCGAAGGCGGCUCUCUGGACUGCAACUGACGCUGAGGCGCGAAAGCGUGGGGAGCGAACGG